rnacentral:lncRNA from 1 species
CUCUAUCAUAUAUAAGAAGCUCUCUGUUAGAGAGCCUUUCGGAGAUUCUCUAAAGAAGUUACUUCUUUGGACAAUAACUUUCAUAUUUCCAACUCCACCUUUUUCACUUAUAAGUAAAUUUAUUAAGCUUAGCCAUACAUAAACUAGAUGUAUAUACGGAUUCAUCUUCCCAAUACUUAUCUACAGCUUAUAUCUCUAUCCUCAACAUAAGCUUCAAAUGCUAGAAAGGAUAAGGAUUUGCUUUCAAUCUUUAGCAAAACUAUAAGAUAAAAAUAAUAAUGAAACUAAAACAAUCUCAAUUCGAAAAUAUAUUCAAUACAAAGUUCCUAAAUUUCACAAAAUAGAACAUAUUUAUCAUGUUCAUCAUAUUAAGCCAAUUUGGCAUGGCUUUUGAAAAGCUGAAAGCUGCUUCUGGCCUAAAUAGCUGCUUUUGAACAUGUUUAUAAAAUGUUGUGGGGGUGCUUUGCCUGGCUAGAGCUGAAGAAGCUCUUCUACAAGAGGCAAAAGCAAAAGCCCUAUGCUCUUAAUAAUCUAAUAACCACAGUUCCCCUAAUUCUAUUAGUCUGUUCCAGCAGAUUCGCCAAUCUAGGAAUUCCAUUUAUGAACUGAAUCAAGAUCAAAACAUUUAAUAAAAUACAAAUUUACUAUAAAUCAGAUCAAAGUUAGAAAACAAACAGGGUCGAUUAAAAAUGACCUUCCUUAGUGAUGGAGAUGGAGAUGGAGAUGGAGAUCGAGAUCGAGAUCGGGAUCGAGAUCGAGAAGAUAACAAACCGGGGAAAGGUAAGACUGGUAAAAUCAGAGCGGAAAACAAAAAGACAGAUUACGAGUUUGUGCGUGAAUCUAACAAACUAAUACAACACCGAUUGAUUAUCAAAUCAGGAAAAUGUUGAUAGAAUUGACUAUCAACAUCCCCCAGAUCAAGUGCGUACUCAACUCAUCAGAUUCACGCACAAACUUGAAAUCUGACUCUUCUGUGAAUUGUUGCAGCAUACAUCAUCUUCAUCAAACAUGAAAAUAAUAAAAUUGAUUGAACACAAUUUGUAGCGAGGAAACAGAAAAGAUUGAAGGAUUGGAGCAUUCGGCUCUGCCUUUGUGUAUUCGUUAGAUCCAAU